rnacentral:rRNA from 1 species
UCUCUCUGAAUCUGCGAACGGCUCCGCAAACCAGUUGUAAACCUAAGCAAGUCCUAGCCCGCCGGCUGCCUUUCGGGGCGGCUAGCGGGCAAAUUAUAUGGAUAACCGUGGUAAUUCUGAGGCUAAUACAUGACAAUAAAACCCGGCUGCCGGGUGGACGGCCGUUCGCGGCUGGAAGCUUGGCGGUGGGGGAUGUGUGGGGCAAGGCUUGGUGAUUCGGGAAAGAGCGCACGUUCAGACCAUCGCUUGAGGGUCCGGCGUGGCGAGUGGGCUCACGCCUGCUUGCCUGCUGGGCCUGGUGGCUCUUGCGUCGUGCUUCUGACCUAUCAACUAGAUGGCAGCGUAUAGGACAUGCUAUGGUAACAACGGGUACAGAGGAUUAGGGUUCGAUCCUGGAGAGUGGGCCUGAGAGAUU